rnacentral:rRNA from 1 species
CCCUUAGAUGUUCUGGGCCGCACGCGCGCUACACUGAUGCAUUCAACGAGCCUAUCCUUGACCGACAGGUCCGGGUAAUCUUUGAAUCUGCAUCGUGACGGGGAUAGAUUAUAGCAAUUAUUAAUCUUCAACGAGGAAUGCCUAGUAGGCGCAAGUCAUCAGCUUGCGUCGAUUACGUCCCUGCCCUUUGUACACACCGCCCGUCGCUCCUACCGAUUGGGUGUGCUGGUGAAAUGUUCGGAUCGGCCGUUUGUCGCGGUUUCCGCGUCAUGUGGCUGAGAAGUUCAUUAAACCCUCCCACCUAGAGGAAGGAGAAGUCGUAACA